UACGUAGGGUGCGAGCGUUAAUCGGAAUUACUGGGCGUAAAGCGUGCGCAGGCGGCGCGUUAAGACAGGUGUGAAAGCCCCGAGCUUAACUUGGGAAUUGCGCUUGUGACUGGCGUGCUGGAGUGUGGCAGAGGGAGGUGGAAUUCCACGUGUAGCAGUGAAAUGCGUAGAGAUGUGGAGGAACACCGAUGGCGAAGGCGGAGUCUCUGGGCCAAUUACUGACGCUGAGGAGCGAAAGCGUGGGGAGCGAACAGG
rnacentral:rRNA from 1 species